UACAGAGGGUGCGAGCGUUAAUCGGAAUUACUGGGCGUAAAGCGCGCGUAGGCGGCUUUGCAAGUCGGGUGUGAAAUCCCCAGGCUCAACCUGGGAACUGCAUUCGAGACUGCAUUGCUAGAGUAUGGGAGAGGGAAGUGGAAUUUCCGGUGUAGCGGUGAAAUGCAUAGAUACAAUCAAGAACUCCGAUUGCGUAGGCAGCUAACUAGGCUGUAACUGACGCUGAGGCACGAAAGCGUGGGGAGCGAACAGG
rnacentral:rRNA from 1 species